rnacentral:rRNA from 1 species
GCUAAGAAUAUUCCGCAAUGGAGGAAACUCUGACGGAGCGACGCCGCGUGGAUGAUGAAGGUCGGAAGAUUGUAAAAUCCUUUUAUGACUGAGGAAUAAGCCGGGUGAGAGAAACGCCUGGUGGUGACUGUAGGUCAUGAAUAAGCAACGGCUAAUUACGUGCCAGCAGCCGCGGUAACACGUAAGUUGCGAGCGUUGUUCGGAAUUAUUGGGCGUAAAGGGCAUGUAGGCGGUAUUGCAAGCCUGGUGUGAAAGGCAGGGGCUCAACCUCUGGACUGCGCUGGGAACUGCGAUACUAGAGUCGCUGAGGGGCAAUCAGAAUUCCAGGUGUAGGGGUGAAAUCUGUAGAUAUCUGGAAGAAUACCAAUGGCGAAGGCAGGUUGCCAGCAGAUGACUGACGCUGAGGUGCGAAGGUGCGGGGAGCAAACAGGAUUAGAUACCCGGGUAGUCC